rnacentral:lncRNA from 10 species
AGAGCUCUCCUUGGGGGUGGAUGACAGAAUGAACAUUUACUCUGGGCUCACUGGAAAAGCUCCAACGUCUUGGAAAUUGAGUGGGUAAGCACAACCUUGAGCACAUUGUCAGCAUUCCAUUUCUUUUUUGAAUAAGAAUAUGCAGUUUUACCAAUAUCAUUGGUUCAAGAGGCUUUCCUUUCCCAGUUGUGUAUUCUUGGCACCUUUGUUGAAGAUCACUUGACUGUGUAUGUGUGCAUUUAGUUCUGGGCUCUCUUUUCUCUCCCAGGGGUUCUAAUGGGUGCCCUUAUGCUAGGACCAUGCUGUCUAAAUUUCUGUGGCUUUGUUGUAAAUUUGAAUCUUAUGAAUGUCUGUCCUCCAACACUAUUCUUUUUCAUGUUAUCAUGGCUAUUUGAGGCCAUGGGAAAAUUCAUAAAAAUAAUUUUAGGAUUAGCUUUUCCAUUUCUGCACACAUGGCCAUUACCAGUUCGAUAAUAGUUGUUUUGAGUCUGUAGAUCAUUUGUGUAAUAUUGUGUAUUAGUAAGAUUUAGACUUCCUAUCCAUGAAUACAGGAUGCCUUUUCACUUAUUUUUACCUUCUUUGCUUUCUUUCAGUAGUCUUUCUUUCUAAUCACUCUACAAGUAUUUCACCUCCUUGGUUAGGUUUAUUCCUAAGUAUUUAGUUAUUUUAGAUGUUAUUAUAAGUGGGAUUACAUUUGUCAUCUUCUUGUUGGAUCAUUCACUGUUGGUUUGUAUUAACAAACCAAUCAUUUGAAUAUUGGCCUUGUACCCUGCAACUUUGAUGUAAUUAUUAACACUAAUAGCAUUCUUGGAGAUUAUUUCUGAUUUUCUAUAUGUAGAAUGAUAGAGAAGUUCUGUUUCACACCUAUUUUCUCAAGAUAGUCUAUAUUGAUACUGUAAAGAUAUGUUCAUAUUCACCUACUGAAUGAUGUCCUUCCAAAAGGCCUUGUUAGAUUAUUCAAAAAAUAUUUUGUCAUUACAUUCCACAAUUUAAUAAAAAAUAGUAAUUCAUUGUC